rnacentral:rRNA from 1 species
UACGAAGGGUGCAAGCGUUAAUCGGAAUUACUGGGCGUAAAGGGUGCGUAGGCGGUUCGUUAAGUCUGUCGUGAAAUCCCCGGGCUCAACCUGGGAAUGGCGAUGGAUACUGGCGAGCUAGAGUGUGUCAGCGGAUGGUGGAAUUCCCGGUGUAGCGGUGAAAUGCGUAGAGAUCGGGAGGAACAUCAGUGGCGAAGGCGGCCAUCUGGGACAACACUGACGCUGAAGCACGAAAGCGUGGGGAGCAAACAGG